rnacentral:rRNA from 1 species
AGCAGCCGCGGUAAUUCCAGCUCCAAUAGCGUAUAUUAAAGUUGUUGCAGUUAAAAAGCUCGUAGUUGAAUUUCGGGGUUAGUAGGUUGGUCAUGCCUCUGGUAUGUACUGGUCUCACUGAUUCCUCCUUCCUGAUGAACCUUAAUGCCAUUUAUUUGGUGUUUUGGGGAAUUUGGACUGUUACUUUGAAAAAUUAGAGUGUUUAAAGCAAGCUAACGCUUGAAUACAUUAGCAUGGAAUAAUGAAAUAGGACGUUCGAUCCUAUUUUGUUGGUUUCUAGGAUUGACGUAAUGAUUAAUAGGGAUAGUUGGGGCAUUAGUAUUCAAUUGUCAGAGGUGAAAUUCUUGGAUUUAUUGAAGACUAACUACUGCGAAAGCAUUUUGCCAAGGAUGUUUUCAUUAAUCAGGAACGAAAGUUAGGGGAUCGAAGACGAUCAGAUACCGUCGUAGUCUUAACCAUAAACUAUGCCGAACUAGGGAUCGGAUGAUGUUAAUUUUUAA